GAUGAACGCUGGCGGCGUGCCUAAUACAUGCAAGUCGAGCGAACGGACGAGAAGCUUGCUUCUCUGAUGUUAGCGGCGGACGGGUGAGUAACACGUGGAUAACCUACCCAUAAGACUGGGAUAACUUCGGGAAACCGGAGCUAAUACCGGAUAAUAUUUUGAACCGCAUGGUUCAAAAGUGAAAGACGUUCUUGCUGUCACUUAUAGAUGGAUCCGCGCUGCAUUAGCUAGUUGGUAAGGUAACGGCUUACCAAGGCAACGAUGCAUAGCCGACCUGAGAGGGUGAUCGGCCACACUGGAACUGAGACACGGUCCAGACUCCUACGGGAGGCAGCAGUAGGGAAUCUUCCGCAAUGGGCGAAAGCCUGACGGAGCAACGCCGCGUGAGUGAUGAAGGUCUUCGGAUCGUAAAACUCUGUUAUUAGGGAAGAACAUAUGUGUAAGUAACUGUGCACAUCUUGACGGUACCUAAUCAGAAAGCCACGGCUAACUACGUG
rnacentral:rRNA from 1 species